rnacentral:lncRNA from 1 species
UCUUCUAGUAAAAUUGAUGCUCCAAGAAGAUACACAACGUUGACCAUGUGGAUUCAGAUAUCUCCCGCUUGGAUCUCAGCCUGGAUCUUGUUGUUUGAGAAGCAUAGAUUAGCUACAGAGUGCCAUGUCAUACAUCCAAUAAAAUUCAACUCUGCAAGCAUGAGAGAGAAGAGGAAGGAAAAGAGAGAAUCUAAAGUAGUUGGAUCACUAGAGGGCAAUAUCGGCCAAGAGAAAGAAGAAUUCUUCACCACCGUUUCUAGGACUGGUGAAGGUUUCCACAGUCCCAGAAAAGAGGAGGAUUGUUGCCUGUGGAGGAUUAGCUGAAAUAGGUCCAUAAUGAGCCAGCUCCCAGUCAUUCACAGCACUUGGUACUUAACUGUGAGGAGCUGGACUUAUUUUCUAAGCUCCGACCUUGCUGGUAUACCUCAAAGCUUCUGAGGCCAACAAUCCUAGUAAGUGUGCUUUUUCUUCCUCACCCUCUGCUGCACUGAGGCUAACUGAAAGCUUCCUGCCCCUGUGUUGAUAUUCUAGGCCAUGCCAAUUGUAGGGCUUUCUCAGGCACACAAUUGAAAGCUAGAGCAUCUUUGGUGAAAGCUCCCCUUCUACCCAAUGCCACUCUUAAGAAUGGAGGAACUUUUGCCUCACAGAGUUUAUUAUCAUUGAUCUCUGAAAAUUAUAGCUAAGAAAUGUGAGACCCUGCUGCCCUUUGGGUGGGUGUUUUGUUUGUUUUGUUGUUGCCAAUUGAUCAGGUAUUAAGAAGAGGAGUCUCUGCCACUCAGUGCUGUGUGUCUCCUCUGUCACUUUCCUUGCUUUGUACUUUUGCCUGCAAUGUCCUCCCUCCUUUCAAAGGUUGUGUCUUCCAGGAAGCCCUCCCCAGUAAUGCUAGUCCACAACACUCCAUCUCUUUCUUGACCUGCUCAUAACUCUUACCAAUUGCUCUGUACAUUUUGGUAUUUUAUUAUAUUGUUUAUUUGUGCAUUUUUUUCAGAUGCAUAUCUCUUGG